GUGCUUGCUUCGGCAGCACAUAUGCUAAAAUUGGAAUGGUACAGAGAAGAUUAGCAAGGCCCCUGUGCAAGCAUGACAUGCAAACUCAUGAAACAUUCCAUUUUUGA
ensembl:snRNA U6 U6 spliceosomal RNA